CGUAGGUCACAAGCGUUGUCCGGAAUUACUGGGUGUAAAGGGAGCGCAGGCGGGAAGACAAGUUGGAAGUGAAAUCUAUGGGCUCAACCCAUAAACUGCUUUCAAAACUGUUUUUCUUGAGUAGUGCAGAGGUAGGCGGAAUUCCCGGUGUAGCGGUGGAAUGCGUAGAUAUCGGGAGGAACACCAGUGGCGAAGGCGGCCUACUGGGCACCAACUGACGCUGAGGCUCGAAAGUGUGGGUAGCAAACAGGAUUAGAUACCCUGGUAGUCCACACCGUAAACGAUGAUUACUAGGUGUUGGAGGAUUGACCCCUUCAGUGCCGCAGUUAACACAAUAAGUAAUCCACCUGGGGAGUACGACCGCAAGGUUGAAACUCAAAGGAAUUGACGGGGGCCCGCACAAGCAGUGGAGUAUGUGGUUUAAUUCGACGCAACGCGAAGAACCUUACCAAGUCUUGACAUCCUGCGACGGUGCUGGAAACAGUACUUUCCUUCGGGACGCAGAGACAGGUGGUGCAUGGUUGUCGUCAGCUCGUGUCGUGAGAUGUUGGGUUAAGUCCCGCAACGAGCGCAACCCUUAUGGUCAGUUACUACGCAAGAGGACUCUGGCCAGACUGCCGUUGACAAAACGGAGGAAGGUGGGGAUGACGUCAAAUCAUCAUGCCCUUUAUGACUUGGGCUACACACGUACUACAAUGGCGUUAAACAAAGAGAAGCAAGACCGCGAGGUGGAGCAAAACUCAGAAACAACGUCCCAGUUCGGACUGCAGGCUGCAACUCGCCUGCACGAAGUCGGAAUUGCUAGUAAUCGCAGAUCAGCAUGCUGCGGUGAAUACGUUCCCGGGCCUUGUACACACCGCCCGUCACACCAUGAGAGCCGGGGGGACCCGAAGUCGGUAGUCUAACCGCAAGGAGGACGCCGCCGAAGGUAAAACUGGUGAUUGGGGUGAAGUCGUAACAAGUUAGCCGUAGGAGAACCUGCGGCUG
rnacentral:rRNA from 1 species